rnacentral:rRNA from 1 species
GUUUGAUUCUGGCUCAGAACGAACGCUGGCGGCGUGGAUAAGACAUGCAAGUCGAACGCUGAUUAUAGGGUAGCAAUAUUCUGUAGUCGGAGUGGCGAAAGGGUGCGUAACACGUGGGUAAUUUGCCGUGAAGUUGGGGAUAACUCGCUGAAAGGCGAGCUAAUACCGAAUGUGGCCUAACAAGGCUAAAGUUGGGGACCGUAAGGCCUGACGCUUCAUGAUAAGCCCGCGGCCUAUCAGCUAGUUGGUGAGGUAACGGCUCACCAAGGCUAAGACGGGUAGCUGGUCUGAGAGGACGACCAGCCUCACUGGAACUGAGACACGGUCCAGACACCUACGGGUGGCAGCAGUCGAGAAUUUUUCUCAAUGGGGGAAACCCUGAAGGAGCGACGCCGCGUGGGGGAUGAAUGGCUUCGGCCGUAAACCCCUGUCAUUUGCGAAC